CGGACGGGUGAGUAACGCGUGGGUAACCUGCCUUAUACAGGGGGAUAACAGUCAGAAAUGGCUGCUAAUACCGCAUAAGCGCACAGAGCUGCAUGGCUCAGUGUGAAAAACUCCGGUGGUAUAAGAUGGACCCGCGUUGGAUUAGCUGGUUGGUGAGGUAACGGCCCACCAAGGCGACGAUCCAUAGCCGGCCUGAGAGGGUGAACGGCCACAUUGGGACUGAGACACGGCCCAGACUCCUACGGGAGGCAGCAUG
rnacentral:rRNA from 1 species